rnacentral:rRNA from 1 species
UAAUACGUAGGGGGCGAGCGUUGUCCGGAAUCAUUGGGCGUAAAGCGCGUGUAGGCGGCUUGGUAAGUCCGGUGUGAAACCUUGGGGCUCAACCCCAAGCCUGCACUGGAUACUGCCUCGCUUGAGUCCGGGAGGGGAGAGCGGAAUUCCUAGUGUAGCGGUGAAAUGCGCAGAUAUUAGGAAGAACACCGGUGGCGAAGGCGGCUCUCUGGAACGGUACUGACGCUGAGACGCGAAAGCGUGGGGAGCGAACAGGAUUAGAUACCCUGGUAGUCCACGCCGUAAACGAUGGGCACUAGAUGUGGGCGGUGUCGACUCCGCCCGUGUCGAAGCUAACGCAUUAAGUGCCCCGCCUGGGGAGUACGGCCGCAAGGCUA